CAGGCCUAACACAUGCAAGUCGAGCGGGGAAGGGUAGCUUGCUACCUGACCUAGCGGCGGACGGGUGAGUAAUGCUUAGGAAUCUGCCUAUUAGUGGGGGACAACAUUCCGAAAGGAAUGCUAAUACCGCAUACGCCCUACGGGGGAAAGCAGGGGAUCUUCGGACCUUGCGCUAAUAGAUGAGCCUAAGUCAGAUUAGCUAGUUGGUGGGGUAAAGGCCUACCAAGGCGACGAUCUGUAGCGGGUCUGAGAGGAUGAUCCGCCACACUGGGACUGAGACACGGCCCAGACUCCUACGGGAGGCAGCAGUGGGGAAUAUUGGACAAUGGGCGCAAGCCUGAUCCAGCCAUGCCGCGUGAGUGAUGAAGGCCUUAGGGUUGUAAAGCUCUUUUACCCGGGAUGAUAAUGACAGUACCGGGAGAAUAAGCCCCGGCUAACUCCGUGCCAGCAGCCGCGGUAAU
rnacentral:rRNA from 1 species